ACGGCUCAGUAACACGUGGAUAACCUGCCCUUGGGUCCGGCAUAACCCCGGGAAACUGGGGAUAAUUCCGGAUAACGCACAUAUGCUGGAAUGCUUUAUGCGUAAAAUGGAUUCGUCUGCCCAAGGAUGGGUCUGCGGCCUAUCAGGUAGUAGUGGGUGUAAUGUACCUACUAGCCUACAACGGGUACGGGUUGUGAGAGCAAGAGCCCGGAGAUGGAUUCUGAGACAUGAAUCCAGGCCCUACGGGGCGCAGCAGGCGCGAAAACUUUACAAUGCGGGAAACCGUGAUAAGGGGACACCGAGUGCCAGCAUCAUAUGCUGGCUGUCCAGGUGUGUAAAAUACACCUGUUAGCAAGGGCCGGGCAAGACCGGUGCCAGCCGCCGCGGUAACACCGGCGGCCCGAGUGGUGAUCGUGAUUAUUGGGUCUAAAGGGUCCGUAGCCGGUUUGGUCAGUCCUCCGGGAAAUCUGACGGCUUAACCGUUAGGCUUUCGGGGGAUACUGCCAGGCUUGGAACCGGGAGAGGUAAGAGGUACUACAGGGGUAGGAGUGAAAUCUUGUAAUCCCUGUGGGACCACCUGUGGCGAAGGCGUCUUACCAGAACGGGUUCGACGGUGAGGGACGAAAGCUGGGGGCACGAACCGGAUUAGAUACCCGGGUAGUCCCAGCCGUAAACGAUGCUCGCUAGGUGUCAGGCAUGGCGCGACCGUGUCUGGUGCCGCAGGGAAGCCGUGAAGCGAGCCACCUGGGAAGUACGGCCGCAAGGCUGAAACUUAAAGGAAUUGGCGGGGGAGCAC
rnacentral:rRNA from 3 species